rnacentral:rRNA from 1 species
UGGGGAAUAUUGCACAAUGGGGGAAACCCUGAUGCAGCGACGCCGCGUGAACGAAGAAGGUAUUCGUAUCGUAAAGUUCUGUCCUAUGGGAAGAUAAUGACAGUACCAUAGAAGAAAGCUCCGGCUAAAUACGUGCCAGCAGCCGCGGUAAUACGUAUGGAGCGAGCGUUGUCCGGAAUUAUUGGGCGUAAAGGGUACGCAGGCGGUUUAAUAAGUCGAAUGUUAAAGAUCGGGGCUCAACCCCGUAAAGCAUUGGAAACUGAAAAACUUGAGUAGUGGAGAGGAAAGUGGAAUUCCUAGUGUAGUGGUGAAAUACGUAGAUAUUAGGAGGAAUACCAGUAGCGAAGGCGACUUUCUGGACACAAACUGACGCUGAGGUACGAAAGCGUGGGGAGCAAACAGG